rnacentral:rRNA from 1 species
UACGUAGGGUGCGAGCGUUAAUCGGAAUUACUGGGCGUAAAGCGUGCGCAGGCGGCUUUGUAAGCCAGAUGUGAAAUCCCCGGGCUCAACCUGGGAAUGGCAUUUGGGACUGCAAGGCUGGAGUACGGCAGAGGAGACUGGAAUUCCUGGUGUAGCAGUGAAAUGCGUAGAGAUCAGGAGAAUACCGAUGGCGAAGGCAGGUCUCUGGCUGAUACUGACGCUCAUGCACGAAAGCGUGGGGAGCAACAGG